ACAAGCAACAUUCCAUUCCUCAUCACUGUAUAUUUAUUCAGGUGAAUCCCAAGGUCUAGACCAAGGUCUCCCUCCUCACCAUUGACUCCAGUUCAUGUGAUACCUCCUAUACAAGGACUUUUAAGCUUGCCCAAUUAUUAAUUUUUUUUCCAUUUUAGAAUUAUUUUAAAUUGUUACAUACAUUUUUGAAUGUAUGUUGCAUUUCUUCUCUCUUCAACCCUCAAAUUGAAUGUAAUUUCCUUGACAUCAGGAGCUAUUUGGCUAUUUUUGAAUAUUUGAUUCCUAGCAGAAGGCUUUACUUAACGUAAGUAAAUAACAAGUGCCUUUGAAUUGAAUCGACAAAACUUUAAUUACAAUAGAGAUUGGAUUUGGGGCCUUCAAACUAACUCUGGGAUUAUUAGGUCUCUUGUUAAAUUUUCAGUAUGAAGAGAGAAUUCUAGGAAGAUGGAGGAGGAGGUCAGAAAACUUUCGACUCUCCAAUUUUCCUCCAUCAAAAAAAGAACACUGCCUCAGAUAACAGAAAUAAAUCUAGUGUGAAGCAAUUGUUCUCCUAAAACAAUUUGAGAAGACCCCAAGAAAGAUCCAUCCUUCAGGGGCAGAGGUUCAUUGAACUGAGUCAAGUGCAAAUAUCUUCAGGCCGAUUCUACAGAAAGAACAAACAACAAUCUCUGGGAGCAGUUGAGUUGAGAGGCAGCCUCAGCCUUAAGGAACUCUCAUCCCGCACAAUUUGGAGGUUUGAUGGCUGAGAAGAUUCAAGUGCUUUCCCACUGUGCUGACUCGAUGCAGCCUGGACUGUGACUAGGGGAAGAACGAGCUAGCACAAGCCUGAUUCAUGAAGUUAAUCUAUACCGUGUGAGGCUGGAGUUAGGAUCCAAGAUGAGCAGGUUUCUCUCUGGUUUCGUGGUGCGAUUGUUACAAGUUCUCACAAAAGAGCUUGAUUUGGAGUCAAGAAGACCUGAAUUUGAAUCCUCCUUCUUCUGUCGAUAUUACCCAGAUGAUGCUGGGCAAGGACUUCUCACCUGGGAAUAAUCAUAGCACCUCCCUCAUAGGAUGACUGUGAGAACCAAAUGAGUAAAUAUGUCUAAUGUGCUUUGCAAACCUUCAAGAGCAGGGACACAUGGAUGAAGAGGUGAGAGGGAGAGAAAGAAAAAAUACUCAAUUUAGUGAAUGUAUCAUCUGGACUAUCUCUUUGGAGGAUCUCAGUACCAGCCUGAGUCCUUGACCUUGGGAGAGGAGUGAAAAGACAGGAACUCACAUGGAUGGUCAAACAUGGAGUCCAUUUAUUUCAAGUUCUCUCAGCCUUAAAUACCUUAGUACAAUUACAUCAGUAUAGAACACUUGCACAUGUGCUAACUAUAAGCACUUUAUUGUUAUUGUGAGAUGCCUCUUUGCUGCAAGUAUCUGCUUCAAGUAGAACACGGAUUGUCAUGUGCCGAACCAGACAUUGUCAGCAGGUUGCCUCUGGACUGAAGAAUCUUAUAUCCUCACUCAGAGUUCCCCCACUGUCUGUGGCUCUCUACAAGUGAAAUUUGUUAUUUGAGAUAUGAUAGUAAAAGCAGUUUUCAAAGAGCUCUUAUCAAGCCUAAUAAAGGGAUAUGUAAAUUGUAAUCUCUCUGCACUGACUGGGUUAACAAAAGAUUGAAGAGAUUGGGGAUUAUAGAGAAAAACAGAAGAGCAAUUGACUGCUUUUAAAAUCUGGCAGCAAACAGCCUAGUUUUCAAGCCUUUUCUGAUUCACAGAGGAAAGAUUUAACAAUGAAAAGGUAAUGCUUUCUUUCUGAGACUGUAGAGCUGAAAUUUGGCUUGUAACUAAAAGUUUGUAUCUGCAAAAAGAGAAAAAAAAA